CCCUCUGCCACGCCAAGCUGCUCCUGCCUUACAGAUGAUACACUACUUUGGUCCUCACCAGCCACCCCAGAACCCACAGAACUGGGGUGGAAGGAAGUUAUCUCAGGGGACUGUCUAGAGAAAAAAAAGUGGACUGAAAAUUAUGCUGCCUGACCAGCUGAGUUCAGGAGACCAACCAGUGAAGAAGACAACCCUGAGUCAGGGACUUGGAGAAGAACUCACCACUAUUGAACCCUGGCCAGUAACAAAUUGAUAACAAGCCACCAUGAGGAGUAUUCAUCUCUAUCACCUAUUUUCAGAUACAUCUGAAAUUCUAAUAAGAAUUGAUAAGGAAGUUGGAACCUCAUCAUAAUAGAACAUACAGAAAAAAUGGAAUUUCCAGAAAGCAGAACAAAUUUUUAAAAUAUCUUUUUAAAUUCUGUACAUUUUAUGUUUUGAUGUUCUAAAAACCUCUUUUAGAUCAUGUGCACAUCUUUACACACUCUCCUCAGUCAGAUAAAUGUGCAUGCCACCCCAAACAAUACAGAAAUCAUGUAAAUUGACUAUUACGUUUACAAAUCUUUAAUUCUCUGGAAGGAAAUGUAUUAUGCCAAUUCAGAAAUAGUGAUUGGCACUUGUUGUGUUUGUCUGAACAAUGGACUGGAACACUUUUUUGGCUUUUUGGGAUCAUAAUUCGUAUUGAGCACUCCCAUAUUAACUCUCUCUAAUAUUGUUGCUGUACUAACAAUUUUAUGGUCUCUCUAAGUUAGGUUAUCAAUUAAAAUCAAAAAAUAUUAAAUAAUAUUUAGUUUUGUACUGUGAUAUUGUGACAACUAGAAACACAACAAAAUAAUUGAGUUCAUGAUUCACAUCACUAAUCAUGGCUGGAUUCAGUCUCAGAUGUGUCCUUUUACAUUUCUCUAUAAAUAAAUGUGUACAGAAUUUUAAUAUACAUCUGAAAUUCUCAUGGAAAAUGUAAACCAAUCCCUUCAUAAAAUGACAGUUUAAGGUUAAGAAUCAAUACAUUUUAUAGAUAACACUUAAAAAUGAAAGGUAUUUUCUGAUAAUCUCAUGCAGCCACUGAAAACAUAUUCUCAAUAGUAUAUUACAUUUUCUGCUGAAACCUUAAAAGUUAAAUUGUUAUAAACUUUGCAGAUGAAUAAAUGUUUUGCAAACCGCUUCAGUGAUUUUUCUUUUUUGAGAAGAAAUAAUUCCUUUUGAUUCACCAAAAUGCUGGACAGUAAA